AAGGCUUGGUAUAAAAACACCAGCCACUGUAGUUUGAGCCUCCUUUCCGCGCUGAACGUUUGAGAUGCGGUGCCACAACUACUGGAUCGCCUCCCCACGUGAGGAACAAUCGCGCGUGUCUGUCUGGAUGGACAGACUGAUCCAAGCGGGCUAACUUGUUCCUUGAAGAGGCCAUGGCUUGAUUGCUGCUAGAUGCACUGAAGAUGCCACUAUGUGCAGGAUGAUUCCAGAGGUAAUUGUUUCCCACUUGAAGUGUCUCCAUUUCUUUAAAG